UACGUAGGGCGCAAGCGUUGUCCGGAAUUAUUGGGCGUAAAGAGCUCGUAGGCGGUCUGUCGCGUCGGAUGUGAAAAUCCAGGGCUCAACCCUGGACCUGCAUUCGAUACGGGCAGACUAGAGUUCGGCAGGGGAGACUGGAAUUCCCGGUGUAGUGGUGGAAUGCGUAGAUAUCGGGAGGAACACCAGUGGCGAAGGCGGUUGCCUGGAGCUUUGCUGACGCUGAGGCGCGAAAGCGUGGGGAGCGAUCCGG
rnacentral:rRNA from 1 species